rnacentral:tRNA from 1 species
GGGGACGUAGCUCAAUUGGUAGAGCGCAGCGCUCGCAUUGCUGAGGUUGAGGGUUCGAGUCCCUUCGUCUCCACCA